AAUGCAGAAUCAUUCACGCAUCAACAACGCCUCUGGUUUUCCUCUCUACUCUAUCUUGUCUCAACGCUAAAGCCUCUCCAGCUCUGUCUCAACGCUAAAGCCUCUCCAAUCCAACCUCAAAUCCACAUCCAAUCCAACUCAGCGGCGCUUCUUCCGUCUCUCUGCCCUUUUGUUUGAAGUUUCCACCGUUUAUCGAAUCUAAAAUCUCACUACGUCUCAUCCUUAUUCUUUAAUUUUCCAUAUGGGUUUUUUAACUGUUGCCAUUUGUUCUCUAUAUGGCUGAAUUGUUAUUAAUUUUGUUUUGUUUUGUUUUUGUUUACCUUUUGGUUUUGCAGGGUUGCUAGGAACAAAACCAAUCUAUUAUUCCUUUUGGUACAUAGCAAGUUCAUAGUAGGUUGAACAAUUUGGGUUUUUUUUAUCUGGCUUGGCAAGGUAAACCCCUUACAAUCAGAUGAUGUUUGCAUGUCUUAAUUAUAUCUUACUACGUUGAGAGUAUCGUGGCAAUGGAGGACUUAUGUGUGACCAAUAUCUAUUCUACAUUGGAAACUAAAUUGAUGGGAUUGGUUACAUUGCCAUUCGCAAUAUCGGUGGCAGUUAGUUUAUGCAAUCAAUGAUUGAUUCUGUUGUUUAGUCUAUGGUAUGUUAAUUUUUUAUCUUGUUGGUAGAAUAAAAGGCAUAUAGGAACAGAAAAAGUGGAGUUAGAUAGUGUCUAGCAAUGUGUCCAAAAAUAUUGCCAAUGAUCUGGACAAGCCAUGAACUUAGCCAAAUGUGGACUACUCUUUGCUCCAAGGAAUGUGAGUAAUGGCAUGGUGAACAAGCUUUUGUCAAAGGUCUGGUUUCAAAAGACUUGGUGCCAAUUUGAAAAAUCUUGGGUCUCCUCUAUUCUUAAACCAGAUUAGAAGCAAAGGAUUUUUAGUUUUUCAACCAAAAACUAGAAGCAAGCUAAGUGGUUAAGCCAAUAAGUGUCUUUCCUGAGAUGGCCGUGUCACUAUGAUUAAGUCAAGUUAUAGCCUCAAGCUAUUUCCCUCUACCUUCAAAGUUAUCAUCUCUGCAUUGUUGGCAAAAAUCAGUUGGAUGAUUGCUGUUAUAGGGAUCAUUAUUUGAGUAUCUGAGUAAAUUUAUUACUUAUACUCUUAUAUACUUGGAUGAAACAUUUGGAGCAAAAUAUUUUUGAUUUAAAAAAUGAAUUUUUUAUUUGGUUUUUCAAUUACAAUUAAUUGGUUGACCACUGUAGAAUUUUUUUAGGUUGCAGGUACAUGACUAGGAAGCUGCUUUUGAAGUUGGGUACCAUUAGAUUCAUAGCAACAAAUCAUACCAUAAUUUCAGCUCUGAACUAUAUCUUUAAAUAGAAAAACAUUUUCCACUUUUUAUCUGACUGUCUAUGAAAUGAAUCUUUAUACUUAUCGUAGUCACUCUUGUGUACUCAUUUCUUUUGGAUUAUGGUAUUUUACACUGCCUAAUAGCAGCAACGACUGCAAUGGCAACCCAACCUAGUGGCUGAAGUGAUGCUUGAAUGGUGAAAAUGCCCUUGGGGGACAAGAUUGAGUAGCCUAACUCCUUGUUUCAUCUUUUCAUUUUAUGGAAAUUGAUUUAUAUCAAAGUUUUUGUUGUGCUUGUGGUUGGAGAAGAACACCUACUCUAAUAGAUGUACACUUGUAUUAUUGUGAUGGAAUUUGGAGUUGAUUAGACAUGCAGCCCUCUUGUCCACAUUAGCUGCCAUAUUUGUUAUUUUUUAGGGUCUAUCCUGAUUGAGUUCAUUUACUUGAUAUAAAUUUUUUUAUUUAUCUUAGUUUUGGUUAAAUGUGGAAUCAAUUGGAAAAAAGAAUUAUCUUUUCUUUUUUCUAAGAUCUAAUCAUAUUAGCUUCUACCCCUCUCUUUGCAUCUGCAUUCUUUUAAUAAGUGAAGGAUAGAAGUUAAAUAAGUAAUGACUAAUGAACAAUGUAUGCAACUAAAAACAUAUAUACAGAUACAUGUCAAUUGUUUUGGUUAAACUUCAUUUUUUGGUUACUGUUAUCACAUUAUUAGUUUUUGGAAUAGAGUUACUAGAUUGGAGUUGGUAUUAAGUUCAUCUUGUUACCACUAGUUCUUUUUAGUUGCUUGCUUUAUGUUUUCUAAUAUAAAAAACUCUUUGAGUACCGAUCUUAGAAGCAAACCCUGAGUUCUUAGUCAUGUGGCUUAAUGGUUAGAAAUUUUCUGUUCUAAGUUCUGUUUUUAUUUUUAUUUUAUUUUAUUUUUUCAUUUUUCAGCUGCUAACCAAAACAAUAUUUUUAUGGAACUAUGACAUGAACAAUAUUUUUAGUCACUUCCUUUUUGCUUGUCUAAUGUUUUCUGUUUUUCAUUUCAGCUAGUGCUUAUAUACCUGGAGCACUAGAUUUGAUGACUGACUUACUUCACAACCUCCAAUAUAAGACUAUGAAUUAUGGUUUCCAUAUGACAAUUACAAAAUGGGAUGAAGUUGUUUCAAAAGAAAUGGAAAUCAUGGUUAAGGAAAAAGGUUGCUUUUCUUAUAUUUUCUGUUUGUAUUGUACGGAUUUCAUCUUACAUUGGACCUUUGUGAACACUUCUUUAAUUUCCUUUUUGUCCAUUUCACGUGAAAUCUAUUUAAGUUUUCAUGUAUGUGCCAACUUAUAGGUAUAAACUCUUUCAAGUUCUUCAAAA